CUGCUGCCUUCCGUAGGAGUCUGGUCCGUGUCUCAGUACCAGUGUGGGGGGCCUUCCUCUCAGAACCCCUACGCAUCGUCGCCUCGGCGGGCCGUUACCCCGCCGACUAGCUAAUGCGCCGCAUGCCCAUCCCCCGCCGGAAUCGCUUCCUUUGGCCGCAGACCCAUGCAGGUCCGCCGCGUUACGCGGUAUUAGUCGGGAUUUCUCCCGGUUAUCCCCCUGCGGGGGGCAGGUCGCAUACGUGUUACUCACCCGUGCGCCGGUCGCCGG
rnacentral:rRNA from 1 species